GAGCCGGAAGUACAAGCCGGAAAAGCCGGGGGUGGGUAGGGAAGUCCUGGGUGGGGAGGGGCUCACUCCUGUUCCUCGCCAGCAAAUCUGGGGACGUCGGAAGGGACAGAUGAUGUGAAGGUUCUUCUAUUUGGAGUUGAAUCCAGUCUGUCUUCUCCAUGGCAAGACUUCAUCAGAGCGGUUUCUAGCCUUCUGUCUCUUGGUUAUCAUGGACUCGGGGCGUUGACGGGGAAGCCUCAGCACGUUGACCCAGAAGCCUGCUCAUCAGUCCCCAGGAUGCAAGACUCUCACAAGCCCUUUGUUGGAAGGAAGUUCGAUGGCAACUUCUUCCCAGCCAGGCUCACAACCUUCAACUUCUCUCUAUGAGGGCUCUUGGGAGUUAGCAGUCCCUCCAGACCUGGUCCAACGACCCCCACCUUGAAUAAAUGAUCUGCCUGGCUGUGCUUUAACAAGUA
ensembl:lncRNA